UUUAUUUUUCCCCUACAGAUGUUCACAUUUUUUUCACCUCCGCAAUGCAUGUUGGGUCAUGACACAGCUGUUCCAUUAUAGGUUCAUUGUGGUGUCUGGGAUCAUUGGCAUGUCGAUGACCAACUUUAGCCAAAAUUCAGCUUUCAGACAGAUGACCUCACAUUUGAUGCUACAAUAAUUUGGUUUACAGAGGUCUUUAAGGUCGACUCAAUGGAUGCAAGAUUCCUGAGAGCUGCGGCUGCAAAGCAAGCCCAGAUCACCGUACUCUAAGUUUGCCUAAAGGUUGAAGUGGCAUCAAGUGCUUUUUUUUUUGUUGUUGCCAUCAAGUGCUUUUGAAGUGAUUUAUCUGCUAUGGAAAACUACAGAAAGGCUCUCCCACACUUUAAACCGAAGCCAAACAGAUGAUGUGCAAUCAUGUGGUUGCACAUACCAUGUGGACAAUGCGCACAAUGACUUUCUGUUCAAGUAAUGCAGCAAACUUCGGAUCCAACCGCACAACACUUUGUACAGAGCUUUUUGUGACCCGGGCCUGAUGUGGAGAAAGGGAGGUCGAAACUUUACUGCGAUGCCACGUUACCACAUCAAUCGGAGCCGAUUUCAGACGAACGCUUUGGAUGGGAGGAGAGCCUUAAAACUUUCUGUUCCUGAAAGAAAAACACAAAGAGCACACCAGAGAUUUUUUUAAGGCAAUAUGUUGCUUAGGGUUUUAUUAAAACCAAAAAAAAAAAAAAUGAGAUUACUUUAAAUGGAAGAAACAAGAGAUGACUCAAAACUUUUGCACACCUAUAUCACAAACGUAGUUUUGAAUAGCUGUUAUCACUUCUUUUUGUUAGAGUAACUUUUAACCCCACAUAACUUGUGAGGCUGUUACAGCACCAGCCAUCGCUGUAUUUAUUUAAACAUGCACUGCAUAAAAAGCUUGUCCUUUCUGCACAUUAUAAAGCUGCAGGUGGUUGCACUAAUGGUUCUUUUGUUCCAGCCGCUCCAAUUACUGGACCACAUGGGAAAAUUUGGAUGAUAAAAUGCUUCCCUUCCUCGCUAAUGUCAGCAUGCCCUUCAGCACGGCGGUUAACCUAAUAUUCAGCAGUACGGGGUUUAUGGUUGUAUGAGUAGUGACAUUGUCCAGCAUGAGAGUAUUUGCGAUGAUUGACCUACAAGUUAAAUAUGCUUGUUUCCUUGUGGUCAGUGCCAAAAAGUCUGAUUUAGGGGUUAUUGAUGGUGAUACAGCAGCCCAUAUUGGAGUUAUUGGCAGGGAUAAUGGGGAACAUGAACUAAUUGAUCCUCGUACGCUUCCCAGAUGGACCGGGCAGACAAGCAAUACCUCAUCCUCACAAAAAUAACUCAAAAGCUUAAAUCCCCCCUCCCCACCCACCUUCUGCAUCUCGGAGACGUUAGUCCAGGCUGGAGCUGUCUGUGGUGUGAUGAUUGACAGCUUGGUCUAAAUGAACUGCAGCAGAGCUUGGAGCAUGCUGGAGGUUUUUUUUUUCUUGGUGUGUGGAGAGCUGAACGGUUGGGGGAGCUCCC